rnacentral:rRNA from 1 species
GAUGAACGCUGGCGGCGUGCCUAAUACAUGCAAGUCGAGCGAACGGACGAGAAGCUUGCUUCUCUGAUGUUAGCGGCGGACGGGUGAGUAACACGUGGAUAACCUACCUAUAAGACUGGGAUAACUUCGGGAAACCGUAGCUAAUACCGGAUAAUAUUUUGAACCGCAUGGUUCAAAAGUGGAAGACGGUCUUGCUGUCACUUAUAGAUGGAUCCGCGCUGCAUUAGCUAGUUGGUAAGGUAACGGCUUACCAAGGCAACGAUGCAUAGCCGACCUGAGAGGGUGAUCGGCCACACUGGAACUGAGACACGGUCCAGACUCCUACGGGAGGCAGCAGUAGGGAAUCUUCCGCAAUGGGCGAAAGCCUGACGGAGCAACGCCGCGUGAGUGAUGAAGGUCUUCGGAUCGUAAAACUCUGUUAUUAGGGAAGAACAUAUGUGUAAGUAACUGUGCACAUCUUGACGGUACCUAAACAGAAAGCCACGGCUAACUACGUG